rnacentral:rRNA from 1 species
GAUGAACGCUGGCGGCGUGCCUAAUACAUGCAAGUCGAGCGAAGCGGGGACGGGUGAGUAACACGUGGAUAACCUCCUAUAAGAUUGGUGUAACUUCGGGAAACUGUAGUUAAACCGGAUACUUACAGAUGGAUCCGCGUUGCAUUAGCUAGGUGGUUAGGUAACGGCUUACCAAAGCAACGAUGCCUAGCCGACCUGAGAGGGUGUUCGGCCACACUGGAACUGAGGCACGGUCCAAGCGCCUACGGGAGGCAGCAGUAGGGAAUCUGCCGCAAUGGGCGAAAGCCUGACGGAUCGACGCCGCGUGAGUGAUGAAGGUCUUCGGAUCGUAAAACUCUGUUAUUAGGUAAGCGGUACCUAAUCAGAAAGCCCCUGCUAACGACGUGCCAGCAGCCGCGGUAAUAC